rnacentral:rRNA from 1 species
UGAACGCUAGCGGCAGGCUUAACACAUGCAAGUCGAGGGGCAUCACGGGUAGCAAUACCUGGUGGCGACCGGCGCAAGGGUGCGUAACGCGUGAGCAACAUGCCCUAUACAGGGGGAUAAUCCAGGGAAACUUGGUCUAAUAUCCCAUAGCAUUUAGAGGUGGCAUCACCAUUAAAUUAAAGCUUCGGUGGUAUAGGAUUGGCUCGCGUGACAUUAGCUAGAUGGUGGGGUAACGGCUCACCAUGGCUAUGAUGUCUAGGGGUUCUGAGAGGAAGACCCCCCACACUGGGACUGAGACACGGCCCAGACUCCUACGGGAGGCAGCAGUGAGGAAUAUUGGACAAUGGAUGGAAAUCUGAUCCAGCCAUGCCGCGUGCAGGAAGACGGCCCUAUGGGUUGUAAACUGCUUUUAUAUGGGAGCAAUAAGGUCUACGAGUAGACCGAUGAGAGUACCAUAUGAAUAAGCAUCGGCUAACUCCGUG